rnacentral:rRNA from 1 species
UACGUAGGGUGCGAGCGUUGUCCGGAAUUACUGGGCGUAAAGAGCUCGUAGGCGGUGUGUCGCGUCGGCCGUGAAAACCUGCAGCUUAACUGUGGGCUUGCGGUCGAUACGGGCAUCACUGGAGUUCGGCAGGGGAGACUGGAAUUCCUGGUGUAGCGGUGAAAUGCGCAGAUAUCAGGAGGAACACCGGUGGCGAAGGCGGGUCUCUGGGCAACAACUGACGCUGAGGAGCGAAAGCGUGGGGAGCGAACAGG